rnacentral:rRNA from 1 species
GCGUGGACGAUGAAGGUCUUCGGAUUGUAAAGUCCUUUUGGCGGGGACGAUAAUGACGGUACCCGCAGAAUAAGCCCCGGCUAACUUCGUGCCAGCAGCCGCGGUAAUACGAAGGGGGCUAGCGUUGUUCGGAAUUACUGGGCGUAAAGCGCGCGCAGGCGGUCUGUUAAGUUAGGGGUGAAAUCCCUGGGCUCAACCCAGGAAUUGCCUUUAAGACUGGCAGGCUUGAGUGCGGGAGAGGUGAGUGGAAUUCCCAGUGUAGAGGUGAAAUUCGU